CUCGCCUGAAACCAAUUCGGAUGAACAAGACUGUCCACCAUCAGAAAUAGUUCAGCUGUUAAUAAUUCAGGGGUUGGCAGAAUGGAGACCUAAGAAAACAUUUCCUCCCUCUGCUUUGCCACAACCUUGCUUUCAGAGUGGUCCCUUCCUGAUGGGACACAGCAUUCACAUGUAACAUCAAAAACCCAUGGACAGCAUUGCUGAUGUCUGUUUUUCCCUUUGGCUUGCUGUCUUUUACCUAACUAUAAAAGGAAAAACACAUGGGAGUUUUUAAGAGCAGGUUGUGUUUGCUGCUACCUGCCUCAUGUCACCUAUCCGGGAGCUUUCCAGCAGUCUGUUGUUCCACUUACUCUGGUGUGGGAAAGGCACCUUCUGCUGACUCAUCGGUGGAAGAUAAAUGAACUCUUGAUUCCAGCAGUUCACUCUGAUCCUGUUCUUCACGCAGUGGCUUUGCCUGGAUGUCCCUAUAGAGCACCUCCACCUGUGAGACUGUGCCCAGACAGCAGACCCAAAUGCACAGGCCCUGGCAGUCUGCUUUCUGGCCCUGAAGCAAGCCAGAUACCUCCCUGUAAUUUCACAUGUCCAUGUCAAUUUUGUUUGGAUACGUGAUUUCAGUGCUCCUGAGAAGGGCAUUGCCAGCUCGUGAAACCUGUUGCUUACUCAGAGAAGAAGGUCAUGAAAAUAUGUGACUUGCUGCUUCCAAGAUUAUAGCUGCACCCCCACCUGAAAAGAAGCCCUGCUGCUUUGCAGGGAUGGAGAGCAGGAGUUUGCAAGUCUUUUUAGUAGAAGCUACUUACAGAAGAAAGACAGGCACCUCAAGUACAAAUGCUGUGGGACUGUGACUAAAGGAAAACAGGAAUGCUGGUGGGCUUCUUUUUUGUUGUUGCUUAUUUGAUUGUUUCAUCUCUUCUGUGUUUUCAUUGGUUUUUUUCUGUUUGCUUGUUUGUUUUUGACAUAAUUGUGUCCUCACCACAUCCUUCUCUUUCCCAUCCCAGCCAGUUGCUAUCAGGGUUUAUUAAUUGCUCUGCAGUAAUGAGUUAAUGGGGUGACCGGGCUGCUAAUACUGCAUCCUUCACACUGUGUAUCACAUCUGACUCCUCUCACCACUGACAUAUCAUGGGAAGAAUUCCCAUUAAAAACAAAAUAAAGAGAAAAAAAGAAAAGAAAACAAACAGAAAAACUUGACUUUAUAACGGAGAUGAACUAAAAUUAGAACUGUAAAUUUAGGCCUUUGUUGGUUCUCACAAGAGAAGGGGUGUCCAAAUUAAAUUCCUGAAGUAUAUAGGAAAAGAUGAGACUGUUUUCUGGCACUACUUGAG
ensembl:lncRNA